rnacentral:rRNA from 1 species
UAACGAAUCUUCCGCAAUGGGCGAAAGCCUGACGGAGCAAUGCCGCGUGUGGGAUGAAGCGCCUUCGGCGUGUAAACCACUGUCAGGGAAUGGAACCAAUGAUUAUUCCCAAAGGAAGUGGCGACUAACUCUGUGCCAGCAGUCGCGGUAAUACAGAGGCCACAAGCGUUAGUCGGAAUCACUGGGCUUAAAGGGUGCGUAGGCGGGCCCGCAAGCGUCUUGUGAAAUCCCAUGGCUCAACCAUGGAAUUGCAGGGCGAACUGCGGGUCUUGAGGCAGGUAGGGGCCGGAAGAACAGUAGGUGGAGCGGUGAAAUGCGUAGAUAUCUACUGGAAUGCCGAUGGGGAAGCCGUCCGGCUGGGCCUGUCCUGACGCUGAGGCACGAAAGCGUGGGGAGCAAACAGGAUUAGAUACCCGUGUAGUCCCUGAGCGGGCUGGCAAGGCGCAU